GACGAACGCUGGCGGCGUGCCUAAUACAUGCAAGUCGAGCGGAGUUGAUGAGGAGCUUGCUUCUCUGAUGCUUAGCGGCGGACGGGUGAGUAACACGUAGGCAACCUGCCCACAAGAUCGGGAUAACAUUCGGAAACGAAUGCUAAGACCGGAUAAACAGUGCUCUCGCAUGAGGGAACUGGGAAAGACGGAGCAAUCUGUCACUUGCGGAUGGGCCUGCGGCGCGUUAGCUAGUUGGUGAGGGAACGGCCCACCAAGGCGACGAUGCGUAGCCGACCUGAGAGGGUGAACGGCCACAAUGGGACUGAGACACGGCCCAGACUCCUACGGGAGGCAGCAGUAGGGAAUCUUCCACAAUGGGCGAAAGCCUGAUGGAGCAACGCCGCGUGAGUGAGGAAGGCUUUCGGGUCGUAAAGCUCUGUUGCCAGGGAAGAAUAAGGACAUGUUAACUGCAUGAUCGAUGACGGUACCUGAGAAGAAAGCCCCGGCUAACUACGUGCCAGCAGCCGCCGCGG
rnacentral:rRNA from 1 species